CGUACGUACGAUCGAUCAGCUUGUUGGUGAGGUAAUGGCUCACCAAGGCGACGACGGGUAGCCGGCCUGAGAGGGUGACCGGCCACACUGGGACUGAGACACGGCCCAGACUCCUACGGGAGGCAGCAGUGGGGAAUAUUGCACAAUGGGCGAAAGCCUGAUGCAGCAACGCCGCGUGAGGGAUGACGGCCUUCGGGUUGUAAACCUCUUUUAUAGGGAAGAAGCGAAAGUGACGGUACCUGCAGAAAAAGCACCGGCUAACUACGUGCCAGCAGCCGCGGUAAUACGUAGGGUGCAAGCGUUGUCCGGAAUUAUUGGGCGUAAAGAGCUCGUAGGCGGUUUGUCGGUCUGCUGUGAAAUCCCGAGGCUCAACCUCGGCUUGCAGUGGGUACGGGCAGACUAGAGUGCGGUAGGGGAGAUUGGAAUUCCUGGUGUAGCGGUGGAAUGCGCAGAUAUCAGGAGGAACACCGAUGGCGAAGGCAGAUCUCUGGGCCGUAACUGACGCUGAGGAGCGAAAGCAUGGGGAGCGAACAGGAUUAGAUACCCUGGUAGUCCAUGCCGUAAACGUUGGGCGCUAGAUGUAGGGACCUUUCCACGGUUUCUGUGUCGUAGCUAACGCAUUAAGCGCCCCGCCUGGGGAGUACGGCCGCAAGGCUAAAACUCAAAGGAAUUGACGGGGGCCCGCACAAGCGGCGGAGCAUGCGGAUUAAUUCGAUGCAACGCGAAGAACUUACCAAGGCUUGAAUACACCGGAAACGGCCAGAGAUGGUCGCCCCCUUGUGGUCGGUGUACAGGUGGUGCAUGGUUGUCGUCAGCUCGUGUCGUGAGAUGUUGGGUUAAGUCCCGCAACGAGCGCAACCCUCGUUCUAUGUUGCCAGCGGGUUAUGCCGGGGACUCAUAGGAGACUGCCGGGGUCAACUCGGAGGAAGGUGGGGAUGACGUCAAAUCAUCAUGCCCCUUAUGUCUUGGGCUUCACGCAUGCUACAAUGGCCGGUACAAAGGGCUGCGAUACCGUAAGGUGGAGCGAAUCCCAAAAAGCCGGUCUCAGUUCGGAUUGAGGUCUGCAACUCGACCUCAUGAAGCGGAGUCGCUAGUAAUCGCAGAUCAGCAACGCUGCGGUGAUGGCCUAGCUAGUC
rnacentral:rRNA from 1 species